CUGAACAGUCAUGAGGAAAAUGC
rnacentral:piRNA from 1 species